rnacentral:rRNA from 1 species
GAUGAACGCUGGCGGCGUGCCUAAUACAUGCAAGUCGAGCGAACAGACGAGGAGCUUGCUCCUCCGACGUUAGCGGCGGACGGGUGAGUAACACGUGGAUAACCUACCUAUAAGACUGGGAUAACUUCGGGAAACCGGAGCUAAUACCGGAUAAUAUAUUGAACCGCAUGGUUCAAUAGUGAAAGACGGUUUUGCUGUCACUUAUAGAUGGAUCCGCGCCGCAUUAGCUGGUUGGUAAGGUCACGGCUUACCAAGGCAACGAUGCGUAGACGACGGGAGGGACUGGUCGGCGACAUGGGAGCGUGAACGGGGUCCAUGCGCCUACGGUAGGCAGCAGUAGGGAAUGGGCCGCAACAGGCGAAAGCCUGACGGAGUAACGGGGCGUGAGAGAUGAAGGUGCCGGGUGCGGAAAACUCGGUUAUGAGGGGAGAACAAAUGUGUAAGUAAAUAUGCACGUCUUGACGGUACCUGAUCAGAAAGCCACGGCUAACUACGUG